AUGCAGCCAACCAGUGGCCCAAACAGCCGAAUUAGCCAUAAUUUAGAGAUCAUGGGAAGAACUUUAGUGAGCAGCAACCAAUCCACUCAAACAGUUUGCCUUGUGCUUUAUGUCCGACUUCUCGUGCCUACCUCAGCAAUCCCCAAUGUAAAAUUGCUUUUAUUUUUGGAAAAAAUUUUGCCAACUUUUAAAAACUAUUUUAGUAAUGGAUUCUCGUUCAAGCAUCGAUAUCUGAAUUCAUUUGCAUCCCGUAAACAAUUCUGCAAAAGAAAAGACAUGGGCUUUGGUUCAGGUUUCACAUAAAACCAAUUUUUAAAAAAUGGAUUCAAAUUUUUUUUCUGAAUUUUCCAAUGGCUUCUUGAAUUUUUCUUUUGCCCUGUCCGUGAUUGUGUAAAAGUUUCAUUCUUUUCCAUAAACCUGUAACCUCAAAACUGGGUAUCUGCAAAGGCCUCUUUCUUCUCAAAGACUGCACGAAGAUCCAAAUCCAAAAUGCUGAUUUCAAUGGAGAUGAAGACGCUGCAACAGUGAUGAGGCCUGGUGAGAUCUUGAGAUUACCCAGGUACAACACAAAUUCAACUUUUAUCAAUGGGUGGGGUCUGGGAAAACUCAAGAUGUUUCGGGGCCCUGACGUUUGAAGAUCUAUCCCCUCCAGGGUCCGCCUGAUAGGUUUAGGAACCCAGGUUGGGAAACAAGCUGAGACUUCUGUAGGUUGAGGAGACGCUGUUGUCCUCUUUGCAGGUUGCUGUCAGUUCCUUGGAACUUUACUGACUUUCUUGUAUUGUCCGCGACUGUUCUCUUAUUAUUUUUUUGUUUUCUUUCUCGGCGGCCCCUCCCUUGCACUUUCUCCAGGAGCUCACUGCGGUUGAGCCAGAAAGAGAACUCUAGCCAAGGGGACAGUGGCGGGGCGGGGGAGGCCGCGUGCUUCAAUCCUCAUCCACCUCCUCGCCCUCGGACUCGUCGCCGCCGCCGCUGCCCCCAGCGCGGCGCUCGUAAAGCUUAUCCCUCUGUCGCUCCUGGAUCUCCUUCAUCUCAUCCGCAUACCGGCAGAAGGCGCCUCCAAACUUGCCCCAGGCCUUGAAGGGCACGGUGAUGGCGUUGCGGUAGGACGGUUUCACCUCGCUCACCCGCAGGAACACGCCGUACUUGUUGCAGCCCACGUCGAAGAAGAAGCGCUUGGAGUCCACCGUGAUGGAGGUGCCCUCGGGGAGCUCCCCGUACAGGCCGCCCCCAGGCCCGCCGACGCCCCCCUGGCCGCC
rnacentral:lncRNA from 1 species